GAAGUGCACGCGCUUUGGGACA
rnacentral:miRNA from 1 species